rnacentral:rRNA from 1 species
GAGUUUGCGUACCAUUAGCUUGUUGGUGGGGUAAGGGCCUACCAAGGCUGUGAUGGUUAGCUGGUCUGAGAGGAUGAUCAGUCACACUGGAACUGGAACACGGUCCAGACUCCUACGAGAGGCAGCAGUGAGGAAUUUUGCGCAAUGGGGGCAACCCUGACGCAGCAACGCCGCGUGAGUGAAGAAGGCCUUUGGGUCGUAAAGCUCUGUCAACCGGGAAGUGACGGUACCGGUGGAGGGAGCGCCGGCUAACUCCGUGCCAGCAGCCGCGGUAACACGGGGGGCGCAAGCGUUAUUCGGAAUUAUUGGGCGUAAAGGGCGCGUAGGCGGUUCUGUCGGUCAGAUGUGAAAGCCCGGGGCUCAACCCUGGAAGUGCAUUUGAAACAGCAGAACUUGAGUACGGGAGAGGAAAGCGGAAUUCCUGGUGUCGAGGUGAAAUUCGUAGAU